rnacentral:rRNA from 1 species
GAACGCUGGCGGUAUGCUUAACACAUGCAAGUCGAACGGCAGCAUAGAUAGUUUACUAUCUGAUGGCGAGUGGCGGACGGGUGAGUAAAGCGUAGGGAUCUGCCUUUUAGUGGGGGACAACCCGGGGAAACUCGGGCUAAUACCGCAUAAUGUCUACGGACCAAAGCAUGGGACCUUCGGGCCAUGUACUAAGAGAUGAACCUACGUUGGAUUAGCUAGUAGGUGAGGUAAAGGCUCACCUAGGCGACGAUCCAUAGCUGGUCUGAGAGGAUGAUCAGCCACACUGGGACUGAGACACGGCCCAGACUCCUACGGGAGGCAGCAGUGGGGAAUAUUGGACAAUGGGCGCAAGCCUGAUCCAGCAAUACCGCGUGUGUGAAGAAGGCCUUCGGGUUGUAAAGCACUUUCAAUAGGGAGGAAGGCUUAAUGGUUAAUAGCCAUUAGGAUUGACGUUACCUAUAGAAGAAGCACCGGCUAACUCUGUGCCAGCAGCCGCGGUAAUACAGAGGGUGCGAGCGUUAAUCGGAAUUACUGGGCGUAAAGGGCUCGUAGGUUGAUAGUUAAGUUUUAUGUGAAAUCCCAGGGCUUAACCUUGGCAUUGCAUAGGAUACUGGCUAACUAGAGUACAGUAGAGGGGAGUGGAAUUUCCGGUGUAGCGGUGAAAUGCAUAGAGAUCGGAAGGAACACCAGUGGCGAAGGCGACUUUCUGGACUGAUACUGACACUGAGGAGCGAAAGCGU